rnacentral:tRNA from 1 species
AAGACAUUAGUAAACUCGAAAUUACAUCAUCUUGUCAAGAUGAAAUCGUAGGUUAAACUCCUGCAUGCCUUA